rnacentral:rRNA from 1 species
AUUAAACGCUGGCGGCAUGCCUUACACAUGCAAGUCGAACGGUAGCGCGGGGCAACCUGGCGACGAGUGGCGAACGGGUGAGUAAAGCAUCGGAACGUGCCCUGGAAUGGGGGAUAACGUAGCGAAAGUUACGCUAAUACCGCAUAUUCUGUGAGCAGGAAAGCAGGGGAUCGCAAGACCUUGCGUUCUGGGAGCGGCCGAUGUCGGAUUAGCUAGUUGGUGGGGUAAAAGCCUACCAAGGCGACGAUCCGUAGCGGGUCUGAGAGGAUGAUCCGCCACACUGGGACUGAGACACGGCCCAGACUCCUACGGGAGGCAGCAGUGGGGGAAUUUUGGACAAUGGGCGGAAGCCUGAUCCAGCCAUGCCGCGUGAGUGAAGAAGGCCU